ACGUUGAGUAUCGAUUCGGUGACGCGAAGAGAUCACAUCCAAAGUCCUUAUCUGUAAGGCAAGAAGUCCUUUCUCGGAAGGCUAGAGAAGAACCUUGUGGCGAGGAAGAUGUUGGCACUAAAGUCACGCUUUAGCAAAACCCGUGCUUUCUCCAAACUUCCCAGUGAUUGCUCUGCUCAGCCUACAACGUUGAGUAUCGAUUAG
rnacentral:lncRNA from 1 species